AUCCUUUCAUAGUUUGAAAGCGUGACGUUUUACGUUUUCACGCAUACAUAUGAGAUAUGCCUCCCUCAAACAUUGUCACAACAUUGGUACAUUACCAUCUGACA
ensembl:snoRNA